rnacentral:rRNA from 1 species
AUUGAACGCUGGCGGCAUGCCUAACACAUGCAAGUCGAACGGCAGCAUAGGAGCUUGCUCCUGAUGGCGAGUGGCGAACGGGUGAGUAAUAUAUCGGAACGUGCCCUAGAGUGGGGGAUAACUAGUCGAAAGAUUAGCUAAUACCGCAUACGAUCUAAGGAUGAAAGUGGGGGAUCGCAAGACCUCAUGCCCCUGGAGCGGCCGAUAUCUGAUUAGCUAGUUGGUGGGGUAAAAGCCUACCAAGGCGACGAUCAGUAGCUGGUCUGAGAGGACGACCAGCCACACUGGGACUGAGACACGGCCCAGACUCCUACGGGAGGCAGCAGUGGGGAAUUUUGGACAAUGGGGGCAACCCUGAUCCAGCAAUGCCGCGUGAGUGAAGAAGGCCUUCGGGUUGUAAAGCUCUUUUGUCAGGGAAGAAACGGUUUUGGCUAAUAUCCAAGACUAAUGACGGUACCUGAAGAAUAAGCACCGGCUAACUACGUGCCAGCCGCCGCCGUAA